AGAGUUUGAUCAUGGCUCAGGAUGAACGCUGGCGGCGUGCCUAAUACAUGCAAGUCGAACGGGUGUAGCAAUACACUAGUGGCGAACGGGUGAGUAACACGUUGGUGACCUGCCCUAAAGAGGGGAAUACCACUUCGAAAGGAGUGACAAAACCGCAUAAGCUAGUGCUAGUUAGAGAGGCAUUAGUAAAAGAGCAAUCUACUUUAGGAGGGGCCUGCGGCCCAUCAGCUAGUUGGUGAGGUAAAAGCCCACCAAGGCGAAGACGGGUAGGGGACCUGAGAGGGUGAUCCCCCACAAUGGAACUGAAACACGGUCCAUACACCUGCGGGUGGCAGCAGUAGGGAAUAUUGCUUAAUGGGCGAAAGCCUGAAGCAGCAACGCCGCGUGAACGAAGAAGGCCUUCGGGUCGUAAAGUUCUUUUACGUGGGAUGAGGAAGGACAGUACCACGAGAAUAAGUCUCGGCUAACUACGUGCCAGCAGCCGCGGUAAAACGUAGGAGACGAGCGUUAUCCGGAUUUACUGGGCGUAAAGCGCGUGUAGGAGGCGCUACAAGUUGGAUGUGAAAGCUCCCGGCUUAACUGGGAGAGGUCGUUCAAGACUGUAGUGCUAGAGUGAGGCAGAGGUAGAUGGAACUCCGGGAGUAGUGGUGAAAUGCGUAGAUAUCCGGAAGAACACCAGAGGCGAAAGCGAUCUACUGGGCCUAAACUGACACUGAGACGCGAAAGCCAGGGUAGCAAACGGGAUUAGAGACCCCGGUAGUCCUGGCCGUAAACGAUGUAGACUGAGCGUUGGUUGGGUAAAACCAAUCAGUGCUGA
rnacentral:rRNA from 1 species